rnacentral:lncRNA from 1 species
GGGCGCGAGAUGGAUUCCGGGUGCUGGUUGUUCGGCGGCGAGUUCGAGGACUCGGUGUUCGAGGAGAGGCCGGAGCGGCGGUCAGGACCGCCCGCGUCCUACUGCGCCAAGCUCUGCGAGCCGCAGUGGUUUUAUGAAGAAACAGAAAGCAGUGAUGAUGUUGAAGUGCUGACUCUCAAGAAAUUCAAAGGAGACCUGGCCUACAGACGACAAGAGUAUCAGGUAGAAUUCAACAUAUGGUGCUUGAAGUGGGCUCUUGUUUUAUCAGUUAUGGCAUAUGUAAAUAACAGUGUACCAAGUUAGUGUGGUGUUUAUGAAGAUGAGUUUAAUCUUUUGUGAUGUGUGUUUAUAAUCUGAGGCUCCCAAGUUUCCGUUCUUUUCUGCUUGGCUCUGUAUGAUUUGUUUGUUUUCUGUAACUCCAACAAAAGGAUCUCUUUGGGGUCCUUGUCCUUGUAGGUUUAUUCCUCAAGGUUCUGAAUCUCCUCAUUACUUAGGACCCUCUAGCACAGACAUUUCACAGUGCCACAGGAGCAAAUCACCCCAAAAUGUAUAAGAAAAAGAACUAACAACUAGAUGUUAGAUUGCGUUACAUAUGUAUCUCAUUUCAUCUGCAUGAGAAUCCUGUUUUUAUUUUGCUGAUGAAAAGGUUAUAAAGUAAGUUAGUGGCAAUACCAGAAUUCAAAGCCUAGUAUAUUUGGUCCC